GAUGAACGCUAGCUACAGGCUUAACACAUGCAAGUCGAGGGGUAGCAGGGUAGCAAUACCGCUGACGACCGGCGCACGGGUGAGUAACACGUAUCCAACCUUCCCAUAACUCGGGGAUAGCCUUUCGAAAGAAAGUUUAAUACCGGAUGGUACUUUUUCAAGGCAUCUUGAGAAAGUUAAAGAUUUAUUGGUUAUGGAUGGGGAUGCGUUCCAUUAGAUAGUUGGUGAGGUAACGGCUCACCAAGUCUUCGAUGGAUAGGGGUUCUGAGAGGAAGGUCCCCCACAUGGGUACUGAGACACGGACCAAACUCCUACGGGAGGCAGCAGUGAGGAAUAUUGGUCAAUGGGCGAGAGCCUGAACCAGCCAAGUAGCGUGAAGGAUGAAGGUCCUAUGGAUUGUAAACUUCUUUUAUAGUAGAAUAAAGUGAUCCACGUGUGGAUUUUUGUAUGUAUACUAUGAAUAAGGAUCGGCUAACUCCGUGCCAGCAGCCGCCGUAA
rnacentral:rRNA from 1 species